rnacentral:tRNA from 2 species
UUAUUUUGGCAGAUUAGUGCAAUGAAUUUAGAAUUCAUAUAUGUAUUAUUAUACAAAUAAUA